rnacentral:rRNA from 1 species
UACGAAGGGGGCUAGCGUUGUUCGGAAUUACUGGCGUAAAGGGCGCGUAGGCGGUACUUCAAGUCAGGUGUGAAAGCCCCGGGCUCAACCUGGGAACCGCGCUUGAGACUGGAGAACUAGAGUUCGGGAGAGGAUGGUGGAAUUCCCAGUGUAGAGGUGAAAUUCGUAGAUAUUGGGAAGAACACCGAUGGCGAAGGCAGCCAUCUGGACCGACACUGACGCUGAGGCGCGAAAGCGUGGGGAGCAAACAGG